CAGAGCACUGUGCUAGUAGGAUGCUGCAGUCAGGGAGGAAGAGCACAGCCCAGCCCACAGCAAGCAGGUAACGGCAAGGGGAGCAAAGCAUCUACCACAGCUGAGCUUUAGCUGUCACUGACCUCAGGAAGGCAGUGAGUCACUGGCCAACACCUGGCUCCAAGGAGAGGCUGAAUAAAGCUAGGAGCAAUAGCUACAAUAGGGGUAAUCAAUCAGCCGACUGUCUCAGGCAGAGCUUCCUGUCCUGGUUGCAGAAGCAUUAGAGACACGUGUGAAAGCAGCAGCAGUAGCAGGAUUCAUGGAAGGGUCUCAGCACUUAGGACAAGCCUCAUCUCCCCUCUGCCUGGAAGACACCAGCAAGCUGGAUACCAAAACCACCACACUGCCAGGGUGGGACAGCAAGGAGAGGUGGCAGCAUCAUGAUACACAAGAACAGGUGCCAAAACUAACAUCUCCAGCUUCCAGAGAGACACAGUGAGCCUAGGAAUGGCACCUUUGAUUUGGCCAGAAGAGACCACGAUUCCUCCAGAGCAGAUCCAUCACACUCCCAUAGAGGAGAAGGCCACCAGCUGCUAUCUGCCUGUAAGCCCCAGUCAAGGAUGCAUCCCUCUAUAAAUGCCUCUAGGGCCUCGGGACAAAGGUCAAAUGCGAAACCAUCACAUGCCGGUGAUGUGCUGCAAGGUAUAUUUAACACCAGGAGCCACUAAGGGGCACU